AAAUGUGGUGGAAAGGAUCAAAUUGGACAUAGUUAUUGCAGAGGGUAAACACAGCACAGAAGAAGAGAUCAAUAAACAAAUAAACGAUAAGGAAAGAGUCGCCGCCGCCUUAGAGAAUCCCUACUUAAAAGAAAUGUUCGAUAGUUGCAUAAGAGAUGAAGAAUAAGAAUUUUUUUGAGAAGAAAAAAAUAAAAGACAAUAAAUUUCCUCAGA